ensembl:misc_RNA Y_RNA Y RNA
GGCUGGUCCGAAGGUAGUGAGUUAUCUCUAUUAUUCACAAUCAGUUACAGAUCAAACUCCUUGUUCUACUCUUUCCCCACUUUUCACUACUGCAUUUGACUAUCUUAAA